rnacentral:lncRNA from 1 species
GGGGAUGGGAUCAUAGGGUUCAGGGGUCAGCAAGAGCCCCCGCUCACCACCUCUACCAUUUCUUGUGGAGUCCACACCCACCGUCACUGCUGCCAUACAGAGAAAUUGGUUAGAUCUCCUGUAGACUAGUGACAGGCUUAGAUGACACAGUACUGACUAGCAGACUCCAUCCUUUCGUCGUCAUGGAGUAAAGUAAGCUUGGUGGAUACCUUUAAAACGGAGUGCCCAGAAGCACCCAGGAUGCAGAAUUCUGGCUGCCGGCAGGGAUGUGGGCAUUGUUACAUGACAGUUGAUUAUAGAGGCAGCUAUGGGCAGAGAGAGCCCUUGUAGGUGGGGAUGUCUGUGCCCUGGGAAAGGAAGUCUCUGUAGCACUUCCACUUUCUCAGGAGGUACAUCAGCUUGCCUCUAAAAUCAAGCAAUUUCCUUCUGAACCGUGGGGUGGUUAUUAAGAUAGCAGUUAUUGAUCCAUUGGACCCAAUAUCAAGAUUUAAAGGUUCAUGAGCCUUGAAGUACAAUGGCAGCCAAUAAAAUUUCUCCAAUUGACUCCCCCCCCCCUCAGUUUUUAAAGCCACAUUUCAGUAGGCUCGGGCUUUAGGUUGAAAAUUGUGGAGACUGAUAGCUUACAAGCAAAAAUGGCUUCCUGGCUGCUAAAGCUCAAACAGGCAUGUAUCACCCACAACACAUGCUGCCUAAAAACCACCCACAGCCGCACCAGCCGAUGGCGGUCUGUAUGUCUGAGUUUGGAUUUUUCAUUGUUGUUUUUUUAUUCUUACAAACAGAGACAUUUUCUAAAUCUUCUAGAAAUAGAUGCUGCAUUCAUCUUUAAUAAAAGCUUCCAUUUGUCGUGUGUUUUUAUUUGUUUGUUGGUGUACUGGGCUCUGGGUGGGGCACUUUUCGGUUACAGUGUGGUUCCAGCCCCUUAGGCACGGUUUUAUGGAGGUCUCCCACUGCAUCACCUGGACUGAAUCUUAGGGGUGCUCUUGGCUAAAGUCAACACAGCUAGAAAAAGGCAGAUCAAAGCACGUGACUCUCUACCACCACAUUCUCAUGUAGACAGAAACCCACAUCGCACAGAGAGGAGGAAGGGAUCACAGGAGUUUACUUGUUAAUGGCUGAAGGUACUUGAACUAGCACUUCGAAUAGGUUUUGCUGGAAAAGUCCAUCAAACAUGGCCAACACCUGCUCCACUUGCAUUUCAUACUCCAUGUUGGAGAUGAUACACACUUAUCCAGGAACAGGCGGUUGGAAUCCAACUGGACUAGUUAGAGAUGAAUCGAAUUUUUAGUGAUGUUGGUCUUGAAAGAGUUCAAAGGAAAAGAGAACAACGAAGGAAAAGUGAAGGCGUCUAGAACCACCCAAAAAGAGGUUUUCUAUUGAGUAUCUGUCUUCAUCAGGUUGGUCCGUGGGCAGGCCUUGAUUGAUAAUUGAUGUAGGAGGGUCCAGCCCACUGUGAGCAUCACCAUUCCCUAGGCAAGUGGUCCAAAGCUAUAUAAGAAAGCUAGCUAAGCAUGAACCUGUGAGCUAGUCAGCAAGCAACAUUCCUCCCAAGAUUUGUACAUAAAUUUCCUGCUUAUACAUCCCUCGGUGAUAGACUGUGACCCAGAAGUGUUAACUAAAAUAAAACCCUGUCCUUUCCUAUGUGUCUUUGAUUGUGCUGUUUAUCAUGGCAAUGGAAUGAAAGAACAUCGCCUUUCUCCUCAUGAGGAUGGUAUUGGGGAAGCAUGGUAACAAGCUAAGCAGCUUAGUUUAGGAACAGAACAGAGUGCCCUCCUUGUGGCAAGUUCUCGUCUCAACAUUUGGCUUGGGAUGGAAGUUGGGGGGACUAACAGUUCUCCAUCCCUACACACUCCGAUCCCAGCUCUGCCCAAGCGGUGCACAAAAACCAUUUGGUCUUUGCUCAUAGUAUAUAUAGACAUGCGUGAGUUUAGUGUUUGUCUUGAUUGGACAACAAUGUGGAUGUGUUUUGUUCUACAAGUAGCUUCUUUCAUUUUAUGUAUUAUGUCCAUGUUUGUCAGCGACCUUCCAUAACCGUGUGAUAUUCCUCAGGAAUAGUCCUCUCCAUUGUAUAAAGUGAGCCAUACUGGUACUUUCCAGUCCUUUGCUUCUGGGGACACCAUGGCAGAACAUUCUGGAACCUAUAACUCAUUCCAGCUUGUUUGUCUUCUCUCCUUUCAUGAAACAAGUGUCCUGGGGUAAAGUCUAUUUCUAGCAGCUGUCAGCUAUCACCUACCCCUCUGCCAUGAUGUCCCUUAGGAAACACAGUCAUUAGCAGAGGCUGGAGGAUCAUCCUGAGUUUUAAGCCAGCUUUUGGCUAGCUAGCAGCACCCUGUCUC